rnacentral:lncRNA from 1 species
AAGUUGAGAAAGAUAUGUAUGCAAAAGAUGUUUUGUAUGCAUGAAUGAAAAAUGAGUUUAGAACUAGUUUGACAUAUUAUUUCUUCAUUUAAAAAGUAUGUUUGUCUUUUGUUUUUCAAUGGUUGAAAAAUGUAAAUCAAGAGUUGAAAAAGAUAUGCAUGUAAAAGUUGUUUUGUAUGCAUGAAUGAAGAAUAAGUCAUGAACAAAAUUUGGGGUUUUUUGUUCUUGUGGUUGGCACGGUUUUGGGGGUGGUUUUUGGGUUGUGUUUGUGUUUUAUUGUAAACCACUCACACAUCCUUUUUAAAGCUAGAAAAGAAGGUUCUUGUCACUUUUGUUUUUUGGGUUUGAAAAAUCACCAAGAAUAUACAAAUCUUGAAAAUGUGUUCAUGGUUUUGUUCUUGGUGUUCAUAGUUUGGUUUUGGGUGAAAAUGGUUUUAAUUGGUUUUCAUGCAUAGUUUUAUGGUUUUGGAUGAUGUUCUUACCAUCCAUAACCAUAUUAAAAACUUAUAAAACCCUAGACUUGACUAGGAGGAUUUCCAUCACCCAUCUCACCUAAGUUUUAAUGGCAAAACCAAGUGACAAGCAAAAUUUAAUUUUUUCUACAUAAUGUGGCUUUUAAUGCAUGUUGUGUAAGAGUGUGUAAGAAACCUCCCAUCCCCUUAAUGUGGCCGGCCUCCCUAGUGGAUUUAUCCACUUGUGGGGCUAUUUUGUAAUCUUUGAAAAGUUGAUAUUUACUUUGAAAUAUUUACGGUUUUACCCCUAACUUUUCAUAUUUGCAUUUAGGCCCCUACUAACUAGAAAGUUAAAAUAUUUGAUUUUAAUUUUGUUAGUUGUUUAAA